rnacentral:rRNA from 1 species
UACGAAGGGUGCAAGCGUUAAUCGGAAUUACUGGGCGUAAAGCGUGCGCAGGCGGUUUUGUAAGCCAGAUGUGAAAUCCCCGGGCUUAACCUGGGAAUGGCAUUUGGGACUGCAAGGCUUGAGUGCGGCAGAGGAGACUGGAAUUCCUGGUGUAGCAGUGAAAUGCGUAGAUAUCAGGAGGAACACCGAUGGCGAAGGCAGGUCUCUGGGCUGACACUGACGCUCAUGCACGAAAGCGUGGGGAGCAAACAGG